GUGACCUCAAAUCAGGUAGGACUA
rnacentral:rRNA from 5 species